rnacentral:rRNA from 1 species
UUACACAUGCAAGUCGAACGGUGAAGCCCAGCUUGCUGGGUGGAUCAGUGGCGAACGGGUGAGUAACACGUGAGCAACCUGCCCCUGACUCUGGGAUAAGCGCUGGAAACGGCGUCUAAUACUGGAUACGAGACGUGAUCGCAUGGUCAACGUUUGGAAAGAUUUUUCGGUUGGGGAUGGGCUCGCGGCCUAUCAGCUUGUUGGUGAGGUAAUGGCUCACCAAGGCGUCGACGGGUAGCCGGCCUGAGAGGGUGACCGGCCACACUGGGACUGAGACACGGCCCAGACUCCUACGGGAGGCAGCAGUGGGGAAUAUUGCACAAUGGGCGCAAGCCUGAUGCAGCAACGCCGCKUGAGGGAUGACGGCCUUCGGGUUGUAAACCUYUUUUAGCAGGGAAGAAGCGAGAGUGACGGUACCUGCAGAAAAAGCACCGGCUAACUACGUGCCAGCAGCCGCGGUAAUACGUAGGGUGCAAGCGUUAUCCGGAAUUAUUGGGCGUAAAGAGCUCGUAGGCGGUUUGUCGCGUCUGCUGUGAAAUCUGGGGGYUCAACCCCCAGCCUGCAGUGGGUACGGGCAGACUAGAGUGCGGUAGGGGAGAUUGGAAUUCCUGGUGUAGCGGUGGAAUGCGCAGAUAUCAGGAGGAACACCGAUGGCGAAGGCAGAUYUCUGGGCCGUAACUGACGCUGAGGAGCGAAAGGGUGGGGAGCAAACAGGCUUAGAUACCCUGGUAGUCCACCCCGUAAACGUUGGGAACUAGUUGUGGGGUCCAUUCCACGGAUUCCGUGACGCAGCUAACGCAUUAAGUUCCCCGCCUGGGGAGUACGGCCGCAAGGCUAAAACUCAAAGGAAUUGACGGGGACCCGCACAAGCGGCGGAGCAUGCGGAUUAAUUCGAUGCAACGCGAAGAACCUUACCAAGGCUUGACAUAUACGAGAACGGGCCAGAAAUGGUCAACUCUUUGGACACUCGUAAACAGGUGGUGCAUGGUUGUCGUCAGCUCGUGUCGUGAGAUGUUGGGUUAAGUCCCGCAACGAGCGCAACCCUCGUUCUAUGUUGCCAGCACGUAAUGGUGGGAACUCAUGGGAUACUGCCGGGUCAACUCGGAAGAAAGGGGGGGAUGACGUCAAAUCAUCAUGCCC